AAUGAACGCUGGCGGCAGGCCUAAUACAUGCAAGUCGAGCGAGCUGCGGAAGGGUAAGUAAUGACUGGGAAAUUGCCAGAUGGUGGGGGACCACUAAUGGAAACGGUAGACAAUACAGCAUGCGUGCAGAUGUGUCUAGGUGGGAUUAGCUAGUUGGUGGGGUAACGGCUUACCUAGGCGACGAUCCCUAGCCGGUCUGAGAGGUGGACCAGCCACACUGGAACUGAGACACGGUCCAGACUCCUACGGGAGGCAGCAGUAGGGAAUAUUGCGCAAUGGGCGCAAGCCUGAUGCAGCCAUGCCGCGUGAGUGAAGAAGGCCUUCGGGUUGUAAAACACUUUAAGUUGGGAGGCGGUACCUACAGAAUAAGCACCGGCUAACUCCGUGCCAGCAGCCGCGGUAAUAC
rnacentral:rRNA from 1 species